rnacentral:misc_RNA from 1 species
AUUUGAAAGGUGGGCAUCAGCUCUAUCCAAAACACUGCCACACCAAUUAAUGAACCCUAGAUAUGAAAAAUCAAAAGGAAAAAAGAAAAUUUAUUCUCUUAACUGAACUAUAUAUGUUACAAAUCCUACAUAAGGAUUGCUGAUCUACCCACUAACUAACACUGAGAGGUGAACCAGACACAAGAAUUAGAAGCCACUGAUACACCCAUCAAGAUUUAUUCAAUUGUACAUGGCUUGGAACGAACUUGACCCGACUACAUUGUUUUAACUUGGAUAUAGCUGCUUGUGACUUACCAAGCAUAAGGUCCACGUAAACAGCUGUCAAAGUGGCCUCUGGACUGUCGGGUAUAAUGGACAAUGCUUGGGUCACAAAAUGGUGGGCACGUUCAAGUUCACCUUGUGCCGCAUACAUGGUUGCAAAAUUGGCAUAAAGGGUACCUCGCGCCUCUUCUGGUUUGUGGAAGACAAUACCUCGAGAUUCCUCAGGGGAAGAAAUCUUUGCAGAUGAUCCUCCAUUGGAAUCUUCACAAUCGAAAGUUUUCUCCAGUUGCCAUUGCUCACAGUCCUCCUGGCUGAAGGGCAACU